GUCCCUGUAGCGCAAUGGAUAGCGCGUUGGACGUCUAGUUCAUAGGUCGUGGGUUUGAAUCCCACCUGGGAUG
rnacentral:tRNA from 1 species